GACAGAGGGUGCAAACGUUGUUCGGAAUUACUGGGCGUAAAGCGUGUGUAGGCGGUUUGGCAAGUCGGAUGUGAAAGCCCCGGGCUCAACUCGGGAAGUGCACUCGAUACUGCUAAACUUGAGUGUCGGAGAGGUUGGUGGAAUUCUCGGUGUAGAGGUGAAAUUCGUAGAUAUCGAGAGGAACACCGGUGGCGAAGGCGGCCAACUGGACGAACACUGACGCUGAGACACGAAAGCGUGGGGAGCAAACAGG
rnacentral:rRNA from 1 species